rnacentral:lncRNA from 1 species
AAUCUAAAGGAAUAUAUUCAUGUUCAAAUUCGCCAGGAGAUGUGGCGAGCAAGUAUCCCAAAUGUGCCUAGACAGUACUACCAGAGAACUUGGUCAAACUGCAUGUGUGAUUGCCCUUUCCUAAGAAAGAUAACUAUACUGUUGACUACAGUUCAUAAGUUAAUUUCCAGACAGUAUAAUUUGGCAUGUUAAGUUGUUAACCAUAGUGAAACCACAACUUGACACAGGCGUCACAAACUCCUCUUAUGAUAAUCAACAAGGGAAACAGAAAUUUGAAGGAAGCGCUCCCUCACCAGAGAAUCUCCAAGCUCGGUAGCAUUUGCAGCGCCAGCAGCAACCAGACUCCCC